rnacentral:rRNA from 1 species
UUUUAUGGAGAGUUUGAUCCUGGCUCAGGAUGAACGCUGGCGGCGUGCCUAAUACAUGCAAGUCGAGCG